AGCAUGUGGUUAAUUCGAAGCAACGCGAAGACUUACCAGGCCUUGACAUGCAGAGAACUUUCCAGAGAUGGAUUGGUGCCUUCGGGAACUCUGACACAGGUGCUGCAUGGCUGCCGUCAGCUCGUGUCGUGAGAUGUUGGGUUAAGUCCCGUAACGAGCGCAACCCUUGUCCUUAGUUACCAGCACGUUAUGGUGGGCACUCUAAGGAGACUGCCGGUGACAAACCGGAGGAAGGUGGGGAUGACGUCAAGUCAUCAUGGCCCUUACGGCCUGGGCUACACACGUGCUACAAUGGUCGGUACAAAGGGUUGCCAAGCCGCGAGGUGGAGCUAAUCCCAUAAAACCGAUCGUAGUCCGGAUCGCAGUCUGCAACUCGACUGCGUGAAGUCGGAAUCGCUAGUAAUCGUGAAUCAGAAUGUCACGGUGAAUACGUUCCCGGGCCUU
rnacentral:rRNA from 1 species